rnacentral:rRNA from 1 species
AAGUCCCGCAAGGGAUGAGUAGAGUGGCAAACGGGUGAGUAACACGUGGGUGACCUGCCUUCGAGCGGGGGAUAACGUCCCGAAAGGGACGCUAAUACCGCAUGACAUCCCGCCUUUGAAGAGGUGGAGAUCAAAGCUGGGGAUCGCAAGACCUAGCACUUGAAGAGGGGCCCGCGUCUGAUUAGCUAGUUGGUGGGGUAACGGCUCACCAAGGCAACGAUCAGUAUCCGGCCUGAGAGGGCGGACGGACACACUGGGACUGAGACACGGCCCAGACUCCUACGGGAGGCAGCAGUGGGGAAUUGUUCGCAAUGGGCGCAAGCCUGACGACGCAACGCCGCGUGGAGGAUGAAGACCUUCGGGUCGUAAACUCCUUUCGAUCGAGACGAAUGGCUUCCGGGUGAACAAUCCGGGAGAAUGACGGUACCGAGAGAAGAAGCCCCGGCUAACUCCGUGCCAGCAGCCGCGGUAAUACGGGGGGGGCAAGCGUUGUUCGGAAUUACUGGGCGUAAAGGGCUCGUAGGCGGCCAACUAAGUCAGACGUGAAAUCCCUCGGCUUAACCGGGGAACUGCAUCUGAUACUGGAUGGCUUGAGAUUGGGAGAGGGAUGCGGAAUUCCAGGUGUAGCGGUGAAAUGCGUAGAUAUCUGGAGGAACACCGGUGGCGAAGGCGGCAUCCUGGACCAACACUGACGCUGAGGAGCGAAAGCCAGGGGAGCAAACGGG